rnacentral:misc_RNA from 1 species
GUGAGUCAUCGAAUCUUUGAACGCACAUUGCGCCCGCCGGUAUCCCGGCGGGCAUGCCUGUUCGAGCGUCAUUACAACCCUCAGGCCACGCCUGGCGUUGGGGCCCUGCGCGGCAGGCCCCGAAAGACAGCGGCGGGUGCGUCCCACGACCGAACGCAGUAGUUACUUCUCGUUCCGGGCUUGGGCGUACGCUUGCCGUAAAACCCCCCAUUUACAAGGUUGACCUCGGAUCAGGUAGGAAUACCCGCUGAACUUAAGCAUAUCAAUAAGCGGAGGA